CAUUGAAAAAAUACAACAAAACACUUCUUCCAUUUCAAAGAUCAGAAAAACACUAAAGCUUUUCAUUCCCGUUGUUAUGGAGGGCCACAUCUGCCAGAGCCUAGAGUCUGCGAAGGCCGGGACCCGGUUCCCCGGCCCACCGUGGGGGUGUGCAAACCCGAGAGAACUGGUCGCUGAAACCUCUACAACUUAGUUGACCGUAACUGCCAGAGCCCUGCCCUGAAUUCCUGUCCUUACUCCCUCUUUAAGAUUGCGUACCCACUGCAGAGUGCUGGAGACGGGGUAGCCACGAGGUUGCAAAUUCGUGAAGAAUCAGCAUCAUGUUUGGCAGCUGAGUAUUGGAGCCAGGAGCUUGCCAUGAGGUUAUAUUCCCAGAGGAUGUCAGUCCCAAGGACCAGUAGCUGCCAUCAGUUUGGAUUCUGAAAACUAACCGGCAUCAACACUGGGUGUAGAAACAUGCUUGCCUUAUGUAUCAGAGGACAUGCUCAGCAGAUCCAAGAGAUAUAUUUGGCAACUUUUUCUAGAAAAGGCACAUUGGGUAUCAUUCAUUACAUUCUUGAGUUUUUUUGGGUUUUUUUUUUUUUUUUUUUUUUUGAGACAGUCUUGCUGUAUUGCCCAGGCUGGAGUGUGGUGGCACAAUCACAGCUCAUUGCAUCCUCAAUCACCCAGGCCUAAGCAAUCCUCCCACCUUGUAGCUGGGACUACAGCUCACAGCACACCUGGCUAAAUUUUUUUUUUUUUUUGAGAUGGAUUCUCUAUGUUGCCCAGGCUGGUCUGAAGCUCCUGGGCUCAGAUGGUCCUCCUGCCUCAGCUUCCAAAGGCACAGGCCAAGUUGUAGCUUUGUCCCUUGCCAUCAUGCCCAACAAGAGGUUCUAUACCUUUUAAUGAAUUGACUUUCAUAAAUUGGUUAUGUUGGUGGGCAAGUUCUUUAAGCUGGAAAUUGUAAAUUCCUCCUGAAAUGUUUUUUCAUGCAGUUGCCAUGAACUAAUACUACAAUAAAGGAUGGUCUUGGGUGUCAAAAAAAAAAAAAAAAAAAAAAAAAGAAAAA